AGAGUUUGAUCCUGGCUCAGGAUGAACGCUAGCUACAGGCUUAACACAUGCAAGUCGAGGGGCAGCAUCAUCAAAGCUUGCUUUGAUGGAUGGCGACCGGCGCACGGGUGAGUAACACGUAUCCAACCUGCCGACAACACUGGGAUAGCCUUUCGAAAGAAAGAUUAAUACCGGAUGGCAUAGUCUUCCCGCAUGGGAUGAUUAUUAAAGAAUUUCGGUUGUCGAUGGGGAUGCGUUCCAUUAGGCAGUUGGCGGGGUAACGGCCCACCAAACCUACGAUGGAUAGGGGUUCUGAGAGGAAGGUCCCCCACAUUGGAACUGAGACACGGUCCAAACUCCUACGGGAGGCAGCAGUGAGGAAUAUUGGUCAAUGGACGAGAGUCUGAACCAGCCAAGUAGCGUGAAGGAUGACUGCCCUAUGGGUUGUAAACUUCUUUUAUACGGGAAUAAAGUUAGCCACGUGUGGCUUUUUGUAUGUACCGUAUGAAUAAGGAUCGGCUAACUCCGUGCCAGCAGCCGCGGUAAUACGGAGGAUCCGAGCGUUAUCCGGAUUUAUUGGGUUUAAAGGGAGCGUAGAUGGGUUGUUAAGUCAGUUGUGAAAGUUUGCGGCUCAACCGUAAAAUUGCAAUUGAUACUGGCAGUCUUGAGUACAGUUGAGGUAGGCGGAAUUCGUGGUGUAGCGGUGAAAUGCUUAGAUAUCACGAAGAACUCCGAUUGCGAAGGCAGCUUACUAACCUGUAACUGACAUUGAUGCUCGAAAGUGUGGGUAUCAAACAGGAUUAGAUACCCUGGUAGUCCACACGGUAAACGAUGAAUACUCGCUGUAGGCGAUAUACAGUCUGCGGCCAAGCGAAAGCAUUAAGUAUUCCACCUGGGGAGUACGCCGGCAACGGUGAAACUCAAAGGAAUUGACGGGGGCCCGCACAAGCGGAGGAACAUGUGGUUUAA
rnacentral:rRNA from 1 species